AGAUCCCUAUGUGAAAAUUCAUCUGAUGCAGAAUGGAAAACGGUUGAAGAAGAAGAAGACAACAAUUAAGAAGAACACUCUGAAUCCUUAUUACAAUGAAUCAUUCAGCUUUGAAGUACCAUUUGAGCAAAUCCAGAAAGUGCAAAUUGUUGUGACUGUUUUGGACUAUGACAAGAUCGGCAAGAAUGACGCCAUUGGCAAAGUCUUUGUGGGCUACAACAGCACUGGUGCAGAGCUACGACAUUGGUCAGACAUGUUGGCCAACCCAAGGCGACCCAUUGCACAGUGGCAUACCUUACAACCAGAGGAAGAAGUAGAUGCCAUGCUUGCUGUCAAGAAGUAGGAAGAAAGUGAAAUGUGAAAAGAAGGCCUUUCUGCAUUUGCCCAUAUAGUGCUCUUUAGCCAGUAUCUGUAAAUACCUCAGUAAUAUGGGUCCUUUUAUUUCCAGCCAUGCAUCCCCAACACAGAUCAGUGGUACUUCUACUUGUUUUAAUUUGCACAACUUCAAUGUAGAAAAAGCCCUAUAAGGCACUCCAUCUCACCACUGCCCUCAGAUCUACUCUUCUUUUAAGCAAUAUGUGUAGAUAGAGCAUGACAGAAAUUAUUUAUUGUAUCACACAGUUGUACAUACCAGUAUCUAAAAAUUUAUUUCUAGUCCGUUUAUUUGUUUGUCGUAAAUGUUUCCUAAUCUGUGUAUAUCUAGAUGUUUUUAAUAAGAUGUUAUAUUUUAAAUUAUGUAAAUUGACUGAGAUAUAGGAGAGCUGAUAAUUAUAUUAUAGGGUAACUAUUGUCUGCAUUCCAGCAAAAAUUCCAACUUGUAAGGCACUAGUAGUGUUACACUGACAUCUUAAAGGACAACUUAAAUCUGAGCUUUGAACUGAACCAUUACAAUAUCAAGAUAUGUUCUUGAAGGAAUGAAUCCACUGGUAGACUUUUCUUGUGGGCAAUUUUGCAUGAUCUGAGUAGGACUGACUUCUAGGAAGCAUAGCAGAAGCUGAUAUAUCACUUUUUUUCCUCUUUCUCUCUCUGUAUAUAUAUGUGUGUGUAUAAACAAACUGAAAUCAUGGCUUUACAUUUAGAAAUGAAGGUACAGUUGCAUCAAGGGAGGGAGGUGGGAGCAUGAAAUAUUACACAUAGCACCAUAUAAACUAUGUGUGGGAAUUAUUUCAGGGUUAUGUAGCAGCAGCCGCCGCCGCCCUGCUCUUACCCGUGGCAAACAUAUAUACUUGAAGACAAGUAGCUCUCCUUUUAUCACCUUUAUACGAAUUUGCAUACUGUGAAUCCCAUUUGUGCUCUCACAUUCUCUAAUUCUAAUGAGUUUGCACAUUAAACUUUGUAACAAAAUAUUUUAUUAUACUAAGCCAGAUGAGAAGGAAUGCAGAAUAUUUUUUAAAGCAAAACAAAAAAAAAAUCACAGCCGUGUGUGUUUAUUAUACAAAAGUAGUUUCAUGGUGACGAGACAGUAUUGUACAAUCCCAUCAAAAGAGGACAAAAAAUUAGCCAUAUUUCUGAAUGCACUUCAAAGCAAGCCAAAAGAUAACAGCUAGUGACCUUUUAUAUACUAUUUAUACUAAUAAGUUUUAAUUUGUCCUUUAAAAAAAGUGAAACAAAACAAAGAACAAGUUCUAGCAAACUGAAGCAACCUCUUAUGUAUACUAGAUGCUCGUUUCAGGAGGAGUUUUUAAAUGUUUUCAAUGUUACUAUGUAGUAAAUGGCACAAUUAUGAAGCUAUUAGUCAUUCCAUAAGCGUCUUAAAAGACUGCUCUGUGUAUCACUGUGACUGCCGUGUGUGCUUAGAAACUGUAGUUCUCUCAGUGGAUAUCAAUCAAUUUAUUCUGUAGUGAUAUUGUAAAAAUACUGCCAUUCCCUUCUACUGCACUGCCGAAGGAUUGCAUAGCACAAGAUGUUCUUAUAGCUAUGGACCAAUUCAGAACUGAAGAGCUAUGCACAGGACAAGGCAUCAUAUAGAGUGGACUGACAACACAGCAUUUUGUCGACACUGUGCAAUAUUCCACAUCUCUCCCCAGGUUGAUGGUAAAGGCUGUCCUUCAGACAAGACCAAUGGUCACUUUAUCUUAUAUAAUUUCCUUGUGUCUCAUCAGAGCAUUAUUUUUGCAACUGGGCUUUCUUCCUUGGAGAUCCCUUUCAUUAAUUUAUUUAAAUGCUGUAUAUUUAUUUAAAAGAUUGUAAAUAUAUUUUAAUAUGUUGAAACACAGGUUCUAUUUUCAGGAACACUAAGCACCAAAAAUAAAAAAUCCAAGAAAACAUUUCUCCCCUUCCCAUUAAAAAAAAAAAAAAAACUUUUGGUGGUAAGUGUGGAAUUUCAUCAGAAAUAAUUUCAAAAUAUAGUUUUCUUUUUUAAGAAAAAAAGGCAUCCCCAGUCGUGGGGUUUUUUUAUGACAGAUCUCCUUUUUCAGAGCUCUAAGCUGGCAUGUUACUUAUGAAAUGUAGAGAAUUGAACUCACAAGCCACAAAUGGAUUGUGACAAUUUAAUCCAGUUUCUAUUUAACUUUCCACAAGGAGCAACAUUUAUUUAUUCUGAUGCUCUUUCUAUUCUCUGCAUGAGUGUUUUUCAACCUAAGCAGCUUUAAGAUGUGUGAACUUCAACUCUCAGAAUUCCCCAGCCAGCAGUUUUGCUGGCUGGGGAAUUCUGGGAGUUGAAGUCCACACAUCUUAAAGUUGCUGACAUUGAGAAACACCAUUCUACAUCAAAGAGGAAAAGACAUAAUUGAAUCAGAUAAGCUGAACUAUAUAUAAGAGGGUCCUUUUGUAAUUGUAUACGACCACCAAUUCUCAAAGAGAGUGAGCCUAAACACAGAGGGUUCAGUUCUGCUGUAACUUCUUUUAGUUGAUCAGCAUAAUGGGAGAGAAAUUUCAGACCGAAGCUACCAGAAUUGAUUCAUUGUGUGAAGGUAUUCUAAAUUGAUUCUCUUUUUACACUGCCAGAAUGAAUGUCACUGUGGAAUUGGCUUGUAAUGUUCCAUCAUUUUUAGCAGAAAAGUCUGCUAUUUGACCAAGAUGACAUUUUCAUUCUCAAAAGAAGCCACAUGUACCUUCCUGACAAAGCUGUGUAAAGUAUUAGAAUCUGAUGCUGUAGAAAGAUCCUAGUUGCCUUUGUGUAUAUUUACUGCCUGCUUGAGUGUUUCUAUGUGUGGGGUUUUUUCUCUGUAUCUUGUAGAAACAUUUGGGGUGUUCUAUCCUGCCAUAUUGCUCGUGACCCACGAGCUGACAAGUUUAGCUGUAUUUUACAUUUAGUUUUGAUGAAGGUGGUUUAUCUUUUGUUUCACUUUUGUGUAGUGAAUCCCACAGUAGAGUUUUCAAGGUGUUGUUAAAUAAAACAUACAUACUACACAAUAUCCAAUAAAAUGUUUUAUUUCCUGUUGAUGC